UUCUCUUUCUCCCUCUUUUCUCUUUCAUCAAACUGAAAACCCUAAACACAAUCCCAUCACAUAUGGAGACGUAACAGUACUGAAGAAUCCAUAAGAUUGAAGGCCGCCACAAAUUGAAGAACCCAUAAGAUUGAAGCCGCCACAAUAUUCUCACAAACUCCUUUUCAAAUGCCGAUCUCCUAUUGAUUGAUGAAACAACAUUGAGUUAGCUUCUGGGUAUAAUCCUGUCGAACUCCUGUUGAUUAAAGUAAUAUUCUUUCUCUUCAGACAGAUUUUUCUUCAUUCUUUUCAUCUCUUCAUACUCGAUUCCUCUAUUCUCUGUUCACGUCAAUUCCCAUCUUCUUCACGACCAUAUAAUCAUCAUCGAUGGGUGUUUGUUUUGAGAUCAAUCACAGAGGAGGUAGUGGUGGUGGUGGAUCAUUUGCGGUGGUAUGGAGAAUUUCUCAAGUGCUUGAUAGAAGUUCAGGUAUACUCUUUUGAUAUAUCUUGUGUUGAAAUUUGUUUUGUUUUCUCCUAGAAUUCUCUAGAGGAACUGUCAUACUUGCUAAGGAUUCCUCAGAGAAGCCUUACUGAACAAUGGAUGUCAAUGCAAAGAAAGCUUUAAAGAUCCGGAUACGGUUCGGUAAUGUGUGUGCGUUCGUUUUGGUUGAGGACACGUUGAAGAACCAUCCUCUAGCAAGCAUCAAACAGAUUCAAGUCCAAAUUAUAGGGGACCAAAGUUGCUGCAAGUUGUCUACAAAAGUUGUUUGAAAGGUUCGAGAAACAUCUGAUUCAAGAUGAUUGCCUCUUUAUCCAUAGGCCAUCACUUGCCGAAAACAAGCUUAACUUCAAGUUUGCUGAAAAAGAACAUAAGGUUGCUUUUUUCUUCAACACUUUGGUCACAAAAUGCAAUAGCUGGUCAGGGUCUGAACAUGGCUUCGUUUUUACGGAUUAUAAGUCUACUCUAGACAAAUCUGGUUCCAAUGGCAAUUCAAUUGCUUUGGGUUCAAUUUUAGGUUUGUGUUGUAUAACUUUGAUUUUGUUCUACUUUUUAUACUCUAUACAACUUUUUAUACUUUAUACAAUUUUUUAUCUUAGUCAUAAUUUUGAACUAACUGUUUAGUGUUUUUUUUUUCUUUUUAAGAUGUGAUUGGAUAUGUUGUCAUAUGUUACCCCAUGGAGUCUACUACUACAAAAUUAGAGCUUGGCAAAAGAAUGACUUUAAAGCUAAGAGAUGUAAAGUGAGUUUUCAAAUCUUAAACUUUGAUAUAUACAACACCCUAUUUUUAAUUAAGGACAAUCACUAUCUCGAGUUGGUUUGUACUUAAAGCAACCUGUAUUCACCCAUGGACAAUUGGAUGUUGCACUUUCGAGAGUAAAGAGUAGAGCCGUAGCAAAACUACCAAUUUUAGACAAAGAAGGGAAUGUUACAAAUCAAAUGACAAAUGUUGUUUACAAAGAAAUUUUCAGAGACUUGUGAUUACUUUUUAUUUCUUUUAUUUGUAAUUUAUAUUUUUUGGUUUUUGAUUGUUGAAUGAAAAUGUUGGUUCAUUCUUUGUUAUUUUUUUAUAAUUUAUUAUUACCGAUCAAAA